rnacentral:rRNA from 1 species
GUGAAAUGCGUAGAUAUCUGAAGGAACACCAGUGGCGAAGGCGAGUUCCUGGACAACUCCUGACACUGAGGCACGAAAGCUAGGGGAGCAAACAGGAUUAGAUACCCUGGUAGUCCUAGCCGUAAACGGUGCAUAUUUGCUGUAAAAGGAUUCGACCCCUUUUGUGGCGUAGCUAACGCGUUAAAUAUGCCGCCUGGGAAGUACGGUCGCAAGAUUAAAACUCAAAGAAAUUGACGGGGGCCUGCACAAGCGGUGGAGUAUGUGGCUUAAUUCGAUGCAACGCGAAGAACCUUACCUGGCCUUGACAUGUAUCUAGUAGAACCGUGAAAGCGGGACGAGGUAGCAAUACCAGGAUACACAGGUGCUGCAUGGCUGUCGUCAGCUCGUGUCGUGAGAUGUUGGGUUAAGUCCCGCAACGAGCGCAACCCUUGUGUCCUGUUGCCACUCCUACGAGAGUAGGAAGCACUCUGGACAGACUGCCCCGUCUAAACGGGGAGGAAGGUGGGGAUGACGUCAAGUCAGUGUGGCCCUUACGGCCAGGGCUGCACACGUACUACAAUGCCCAGUACAAAAGGAAGCAAGACCCCAAGGUGGAGCAAAUCCCCAAAACUGGGCCCAGUUCGGAUUGUCGUCUGCAACUCGACGGCAUGAAGUUGGAAUCGCUAGUAGUGGCGCAUCAGCUACGGCGCCGUGAAUACGUUCCCAGGCCUUGUACACACCGCCCGU